CUUAGCCUGUUACCAUAGAACAGAACAGAACCAACGAAGCCACAGAGAGAGAAGGUGGUGUUAGACAAUCUCCUUCCAUCUACGCCUGGAUGCCUUUAACUCAAAUCAAAUUAAAUAUACAAAAGCACUCGUUGCGAAAGGAGCGAGAAUCAAACAAGAAGAGAAAGGUCUCAGUGCGAUCGAAGGAAGGCUUUCCCAAUAGCGGACACCGGCGUUUUACUGCGCUUCUCUCCGUCUCUGUGAUAAAUGAGCGUGUGUACCUUGCCACUGAGUUUAAUUGCAUGUAAAGAGAUCAGUGCGCAAAGUUGGUGAGACUUUACAGUCGUGUUGCACAUUUUUUUUCUUUGGGAAGGAUUUGUUUCUAGACUUGGUUUCUAUUCUGCCGUGGAUUUUAGAAUAGAUAGCUCAAUUUUCUUUGUCUUUUGGGUGAACGGUGAUUGGAUCUUACGUUUUUUUGUCUGAUGUACUGCUGCUGAGACUCACUGGAAACCAGUCCAACACUUUCAUUGAAAGGAUUCCUUCAAGUGGCGCAGCUUCCCUGCGUGGAAGAUAUGGAUUUGCUUUUGCUAUAGCCCAGACCAAGAAAUUCAAGCGGUUGGCUCUUUUGUCUUUUUCUGUUGUUAUUUUUACUGUGAAACAGACCGAAAACUCACAUUUCAACGCAGCAGGCUACCCACCUUUGGAAAUACAACCAUGAACUUUGUUGUCACUUUGAUACAAAUCCUUUUUGCAGCAGUUCUUCAUAUUUCCACUAUAAAGACUGCUAGUAUAAACAAGGAAGACCAGAAGACGGUAAAAGGCGAUAAAAAUGUCGUGGUGUCCUUCAUGCAAGUGUUCAACAAGAGUCGCUGUCAGACGCGGGAGGUGCUGGUGGACAUCUACAAGGAGUACCCCGACAGGAUCGAGCACACCUACAUCCCCGCCUGCGUGAUCCUCAAGCGCUGCUCGGGGUGCUGCAACGACGAGGCCAUGGAGUGUGUUCCCACGCGGACUCGCAACGUCACAAUGGAGGUACUACAAGUCAGAGAGAAAGUAUCACAACAUCUUUCUCAAUUGAGUUUCGUAGAGCAUGAAGAGUGUGACUGCAGACAAAAGCCAGAAGUGAAAAUAAAGAAAGAAAAGGGCAAGGGCCAAAAGAGAAAGAGAAAGAAACAGAGAGACACUGCUGGGAUUGCUGAGGCCUAUGCCAGCUCCACAGGGUGCCUAGGCCAGAGCAUGGUGUCUCUCUUGAUGGUUGGCUUGCUAUCCAAGGAACUCUUUUGGUAUUUUGUAAAUUAAAAUCAAACGAAAACAAUCAAAUCAAAAUGAAAAAGAAUACACAAACUACAACUUUAUGGUCGGACUAAAAUUCCACUUUUUCUCAAUUCUUUCCUAUUUUUUUCUUAUUUUUUUCCCAAUAUCUGGCACAAACACUUUGUGCUGUGGAGUUGAUGUGAUAACAAAACGAUUAAUCAGAUGUGACAAACCGCGGAGAUGAGAGGAGGUUAAGGGGGUGAGAGGGACAUUGGCAUGAAGGAACUAUUUUCUUGGCACAGCACUUUGAAACACGAGGAUGCAUUCCCUGCAUGGAGUUCAGAUGACAGCGGCAGAGAAAGUGAGCCGGAGAGAAGAACGCUUGGUGGAAACAGAGGUCAGACGGUUGUCUACGUACGUAACCACAGCUCCACCGAGAAGCUCCAGAGAGCCCCUCACAUAGUCCAAAACAGGAAAGAGGCGCAACUUCGGGCCCCGACCUCAGGGCACGCCCUCGGACCGGUUCGCAGACUCUCUGCCUUUUUUCACAGUUGAUCCUUCUCGAAUCACAUGACACAAAGCAAUCAUCUCCCAGGAAUUUGAAUCACGCGGCCCGCAAGAUAAAGUGGGGCCGCCGUACGGACCAGGACUUGGAAGCGGACCCCAAUGGGUCCGCUACGUUGCUACGGAUACUUUGCCGGGCCCUCAAGGUUGAAUAGACACUCCAGGUCACCUUGAACUGAAUCACAUGUUCCAGACCCAGAGAAAGACACAGAAAUAGUUCCCUCUCUGAUGUGAUGUCACCUCCAUGGGGUGAUAUGUGUUCAUCACUACUGUACUGACUAACACCCAAUAGGAUUCGGUGUGGAUAAAGAAAUACUUCAUAAGGGAUAUUAAUAUAGGUAUAUAUGGAGAGAAAAUAGUGAUUAGACAAGUUGAUUGCAGUCUCCACGAGUAAGAGUGGAUCUCAAUGCGCCACUGAAGAAAUUGGUUGACCUCCGCUUUUCCUUAUUUAAAUUGUAUGCUAUGUAUGUUUUCCAAAGAAAUAAUUGUACAUCGACGAAAGUACAGGUCAAUCUAAAGCUUAAGUAACGAUCCGUGUAUACCUGGUAUCCCUUUGUAAUGUACACUACGUCUAAUUUAUAAAGCUAGAAUAUUUUGAGUAUUCUAUGUAUUUAAGUUGAUAUACGGUAUUUAUAUGCAUUGUUAUGGUUAAUUUCUAUUCACCUGUCGGCGUUUUAAAAAAAUGUGUCAACUUGACUGUGGA